GGCCUACCAUGGUGGUAACGGGUAACGGGGUGUUAGGGCACGACACCGGAGAGGGAGCCUGAGAAACGGCUACCACAUCCAAGGAUGGCAGCAGGCGCGCAAAUUACCCAAUCCCGACACGGGGAGGUAGUGACAAUAAAUAACAAUACGGGGUUCUUUCGGAUUUCGUAAUUGGAAUGAGUACAAUUUAAAUCUCUUAACGAGGAACAAUUGGAGGGCAAGUCUGGUGCCAGCAGCCGCGGUAAUUCCAGCUCCAAUAGCGUAUAUUAAAGUUGUUGCAGUUAAAAAGCUCGUAGUUGAAUUUCGGGGUCAGUAGAUUGGUCAUGCCUCCGGUAUGUACUGGUCUUACUGGCUCCUCCUUCCUGAUGAACCGUAAUGCCAUUAAUUUGGUGUUGCGGGGAGACUGGACUGUUACUUUGAAAAAAUUAGAGUGUUUAAAGCAGGCUAACGCUUGAAUACAUUAGCAUGGAAUAAUGAAAUAGGACGUUCGAUCUUAUUUUGUUGGUUUCUAAGAUUGACGUAAUGAUUAAUAGGGAUAGUUGGGGGCAUUAGUAUUCAAUUGUCAGAGGUGAAAUUCUUGGAUUUAUUGAAGACUAACUACUGCGAAAGCAUUUGCCAAGGAUGUUUUCAUUAAUCAAGAACGAAAGUUAGGUGAUCGAAGACGAUCAGAUACCGUCGUAGUCUUAACCAUAAACUAUGCCGACUAGGGAUCGGAUGAUGUUAAUUUUUUAAUGACUCAUUCGGCGCCUUACGGGAAACCAAAGUGUUUGGGUUC
rnacentral:rRNA from 1 species